AUUGAACGCUAGCGGGAUGCUUUACACAUGCAAGUCGAACGAGUGGCGGACGGGUGAGUAAUAUAUCGGAACGUGCCCAGUAGCGGGGGAUAACUACUCGAAAGAGUGGCUAAUACCGCCUACUAUUGGCUCGGCCGAAAUCGGAUUAGCUAGUUGGUGGGGUAAAGGCUCACCACGGCAACGAUCCGUAGCUGGUUUGAGAGGACGACCAGCCACACUGGGACUGAGACACGGCCCAGACUCCUACGGAAGGCAGCAGUGGGGAAUUUUGGACAAGUGGGGAAACCCUGGUCCAGCCAUGCCGCGUGUAUGAGAAGGCCCUAGGGUUGUAAAGUACUUGCAGUAGGGAGGCGUUACCGACAGAAGAAGCACCGGCUAACUCCGUGCCAGCAGCCGCGGUAAUAC
rnacentral:rRNA from 1 species